rnacentral:rRNA from 1 species
UGGGGAAUAUUGCACAAUGGGCGCAAGCCUGAUGCAGCGACGCCGCGUGAGGGAUGACGGCCUUCGGGUUGUAAACCUCUUUCACCAGGGACGAAGCGCAAGUGACGGUACCUGGAGAAGAAGCACCGGCCAACUACGUGCCAGCAGCCGCGGUAAUACGUAGGGUGCGAGCGUUGUCCGGAAUUACUGGGCGUAAAGAGCUCGUAGGUGGUUUGUCGCGUUGUUCGUGAAAACUCACAACUCAAUUGUGGGCGUGCGGGCGAUACGGGCAGACUAGAGUACUGCAGGGGAGACUGGAAUUCCUGGUGUAGCGGUGGAAUGCGCAGAUAUCAGGAGGAACACCGGUGGCGAAGGCGGGUCUCUGGGCAGUAACUGACGCUGAGGAGCGAAAGCGUGGGGAGCGAACAGGAUUAGAUACCCUGGUAGUCCACGCCGUAAACGGUGGGUACUAGGUGUGGGUUCCUUCCUUGGGAUCCGUGCCGUAGCUAACGCAUUGAAGUACCCCGCCUGGGGAGUACGGCCGCAAGGCUAAAACUUAAGGAAUUGACGGGGUCAUAGCUGUUUCCU